GUCUACAGCCAUACCACCCUGAACAUGCCCUAUCUCGUCUGAUCUCAGAAGCUAAGCAGGGUCAGGCCUGGUUCAUACUUGGAUGGGAGACA
rnacentral:rRNA from 1 species